rnacentral:lncRNA from 1 species
GUUAUAAAAACCCACGCUAUAAAAGUGACAGGGACAGGCUCGCGGCGGGGCUGCAGAAAGCUAGAGGACUUUUGCUCCCCAAAAGGCUCGUAGCAGAGCCCGUGCAUAUACCUGUGGGGACCUUGUUACACUGCGUUGUAAUCACUGUUACCAUGCUCAUGACAUUUGCUUACCACGAGGUUCGUGGAGUCAAUAAUGCUCCCAUCACCUCUAGGGUCUGGUACACAGUAGGUACUUGAAAGCAGAACCAGUGAAUGAUGGAAGGCUGUGUAGAUGGAUACUAUCUUGAAAAAUGAUUAGCAAGUGUAUUUUCAAUUUACAGUAAAGCAGGUCACCCUGCAGCCUCCCACCCAUCAUAUUAACAGCAUUUAUCACCUCUGAGAGAGGGUAGAUACCACCUACAGAAACGAAAAAUCCACUGCUCAAUUUUUAGUUUCAAUCACCCGUUUCAGAGGCCAUAAUGGCAAAAUCCUGGCCUUCAUGUGUCUAGAGCCAAAUGUGAAGAUCUGAGAAGAGAGCUUGGCUGUGACCCAUGGGUAUGACAGAUCCAGGCUGUGAGAGGAAUGCCGAGCUGGUAGGACAGUGGUGUGGGAUGUCACAGGAGGAGAGAGGUGCAGACACAUUGGGCCUGUGGAGAGAUGAAAACAGCAUUCUGGCUCUGGGGAAUCUGAGAACUCUGGGGCUGGUGCCAGCUCCUCUGGGUUUAGCAUGACCGACAGCUAAGCAGAGGAGCGGAAGGAUGGUUAUGAAGAGUGGAAGUUCUAGACAAGAAUGAACAGUUUACAGUCACUUGUAGAACUGUCUGUCUCUUUCCAGUAUCUGAAGUUUGACAGUCUCAAAGGGCAUCUCUGGGAAUUUUUGAGUGUCAGUGUGCCGCUCAAAGAGUGGCAGGAGGGGCCCCUAGCAGCCAGUGCAGCAAGGCAGACAGGACCCGCAUGCCAGCACCCGGCCUGUCUGAUGACACUGAUUCCGAAAGAACUCGCUGCCGUAUCCUCAUGUACUCAUCCAAAUCACGAUUUUAAGUUGGUGAUGGAGACGUCGACCCACAGCUGAUGUUGGUGACUCCUUUCCUCCAGCCCUCAUAUAGCAAAUGGAGACAGAUGGAGAUCAGUGCAGAAGUUACAACAUUAGAAAGGGGGUGAGGGCCUGAAAGGAGGUGGAGCUGCUGAACGGGGGCUUUAGAAAGCUGAAU